GGGCUCGACUCCUGUUCCUGCUGAACUGAGCCAGUGUGUACAAGAGAACUGAUAUCAGCUCAGUAGGCACCGGAGGGCGGGUCC
ensembl:miRNA